GGUAGUAGCAAAUAUCCAAGUGAGUUCCUUGACGAUUGGUCUGGAGAAGAGUUCCACGUGAACAGCAGUUGGAUGUGGGUCAGUCGAUCCUAAGAUAUCUGCUAAUUCCGUUGCGGAUUGCUGCGAGCAGGAAUUCAAAUCCAUCUCGGCAAUCGAAAGGGAGACAGGUUAAUAUUCCCACAGCUGGCAAUGGAGAUGAUAAAUGCUCAUUAUGGUAGUUGGCGCGGUUUUUUAUCGAUAUGAAAAUGCUUAUGUGUCACUGAUUCUUUUUAGUAAAAAUGACUUCGCAAUCCAAGUUCUCAGCAAGAAAAUCAAGAUUAAACAGUGCUUUUUCUUCUUUUUUUUUUAAAGUUUUUGCUGGUGUUUCGCGAGGCUUCUGUGAUAUUUAGGUGGUACCAAUUACUUGUUCGGUUUAUGUGCACCAUCCGCUCCAAGUCCCUUUUGCUUUUAUC
rnacentral:ncRNA from 1 species